rnacentral:rRNA from 1 species
UACAGGGGGGGCAAGCGUUGUUCGGAAUUACUGGGCGUAAAGGGUUCGUAGGUGGCCAACUAAGUCAGACGUGAAAUCCCUCAGCUUAACUGGGGAACUGCGUCUGAUACUGGAUGGCUUGAGUGUAGGAGAGGAAUGCGGAAUUCCAGGUGUAGCGGUGAAAUGCGUAGAUAUUGGGAGGAACACCAGUGGCGAAGGCGGCUCGCUGGACCGGUUCUGACGCUGAGGCGCGAAAGCGUGGGGAGCAAACAGG